rnacentral:rRNA from 1 species
CCUACGGGAGGCAGCAGUGGGGAAUAUUGCACAAUGGGGGGAACCCUGAUGCAGCGACGCGGCGUGAGCGAUGAAGUAUUUCGGUAUGUAAAGCUCUAUCAGCAGGGAAGAAAGUGAAGGUACCUGACUAAGAAGCCCCGGCUAACUACGUGCCAGGAGCCGCGGUAAUACGUAGGGGGCAAGCGUUAUCCGGAUUUACUGGGUGUAAAGGGAGCGUAGACGGCAGUGCAAGCCAGAUGUGAAAGCCUGGGGCCCAACCCCGGGACUGCAUUUGGAACUGUGCUGCUAGAGUGUCGGAGAGGCAGGCGGAAUUCCUGGUGUAGCGGUGAAAUGCGUAGAUAUUAGGAGGAACACCAGUGGCGAAGGCGGCCUGCUGGACGGUGACUGACGUUGAGGCUCGAAAGCGUGGGGAGCAAACAGGAUUAGAUACCCGGGUAGUC